rnacentral:rRNA from 1 species
UACGUAGGUGACAAGCGUUGUCCGGAUUUACUGGGCGUAAAGAGCGCGCAGGCGGUCGAUCAAGUCGAGUGUGAAAGCCCCCGGCUCAACUGGGGAGGGUCAUUCGAUACUGAUCGACUCGAAGGCAGGAGAGGGUAGUGGAAUUCCCGGUGUAGUGGUGGAAAUGCGUAGAUAUCGGGAGGAACACCAGUGGCGAAGGCGGCCCCCUGGUUGGAUACUGACGCUGAUACGCGAAAGCGUGGGGAGCAAACAGG